rnacentral:rRNA from 1 species
GAUGAACGCUGGCGGCGUGCCUAAUACAUGCAAGUCGAGCGAACGGACGAGAAGCUUGCUUCUCUGAUGUUAGCGGCGGACGGGUUAGUAACACGUGGAUAACCUACCUAUAAGACUGGGAUAACUUCGUGAAACCGGAGCUAAUACCGUAUAAUAUUUUGAACCGCAUGGUUCAAAAGUGAAAGACGGUCUUGCUGUCACUUAUAGAUGGAUCCGCUCUGCAUUAGCUAGUUGGAAAGGUAACGGCUUACCAAGGCAACGAUGCAUAGCCGACCUGAGAGGGUGAUCGGACACACUGGAACUGAGACACGGUCCAGACUCCUACGGGAGGCAGCAGUAGGGAAUCUUGCGCAAUGGGCGAAAGCCUGACGGAGCAAAGCCGCGUGAGUGAUGAAGGCCUUCGGAUCGUAAAACUCUGUUAUUAGGGAAGAACAUAUGUGUAAGUAAAUGUGCACAUCAUGACGGUACCUAAUCAGAAAGCCACGGCUAACUACGUG